GGGUGCGUAACGCGUAUGCAAUCUACCUUUUACAGGGGGAUAGCCCAGAGAAAUUUGGAUUAAUAUCCCAUAGUAUCAAGAGUCGGCAUCGGCAUUUGAUUAAAGAUUUAUCGGUAAAAGAUGAGCAUGCGUCCUAUUAGCUAGAUGGUGUGGUAACGGCACACCAUGGCAACGAUAGGUAGGGGCCCUGAGAGGGGGAUCCCCCACACUGGUACUGAGACACGGACCAGACUCCUACGGGAGGCAGCAGUGAGGAAUAUUGGACAAUGGGCGCAAGCCUGAUCCAGCCAUGCCGCGUGCAGGAAGACUGCCCUAUGGGUUGUAAACUGCUUUUAUACGGGAAGAAACACUCCCUCGUGAGGGGGCUUGACGGUACCGUAAGAAUAAGGAUCGGCUAACUCCGUGCCAGCAGCCGCGGUAAUACGGAGGAUCCAAGCGUUAUCCGGAAUCAUUGGGUUUAAAGGGUCCGUAGGUGGAUAAUUAAGUCAGAGGUGAAAUCCUGCAGCUCAACUGUAGAAUUGCCUUUGAUACUGGUUAUCUUGAGUCAUUAUGAAGUGGUUAGAAUAUGUAGUGUAGCGGUGAAAUGCAUAGAUAUUACAUAGAAUACCAAUUGCGAAGGCAGAUCACUAAUAAUGUACUGACACUGAUGGACGACAGCGUGGGGAGCGAACAGGAUUAGAUACCCUGGUAGUCCACGCCGU
rnacentral:rRNA from 1 species